rnacentral:lncRNA from 1 species
CUUUUAUGAGUUCAUGCACAUUUUAUGAGUGUGGUGGCUAGUCUUAUGCCAUUGUGAAACGCAAACAAGUUAUCUGAAUGGUGCAAACCUUAAUGAGAAAAAGUCUCCAUAAAAUCUGGCUGUAUGGCACUUUGCUAAUUAGUUACUGAUGUGGGAGGGCCAGUCCAUUGUGGGUGGUACCAUCACAGGACUGGUGGUCCUGGGGGUCUAUAAGAAAGCAGGCUGUGCAAGAUAUGAGGAGUAAGCCAGAAAUAACACUCCUCCAUGGGCUCCUGCCUCCAGGUUUCUGACCAGCUUGAGUUC